AUGCCCCCAACUCUUUAUGAGUUGGCACUUAUCCUUUGUGUCUCUGUGCAUGUACCACCUUUUCCAGAAAUUGUCAUGGAAGCCUUUUUUUCACUCUGAUAUGAUCAAGCAGAAUACAGACAUUAUGAAGACAGGCUUUUGGUCUGUUUUAUACUAGCCUGGAACAAAGGAAGAGCUCAAUACAUAUUUGUUGAGUAAAUGAAUGGAUGAGUAAAUGUAACAGAAAAGAAGCCUUCAGAAAAUAAAAAUGCCUGACAGAACUCAG
rnacentral:lncRNA from 10 species